rnacentral:rRNA from 1 species
UACGGGGGGGGCAAGCGUUGUUCGGAAUUACUGGGCGUAAAGGGCUCGUAGGUGGCCAACUAAGUCAUACGUGAAAUCCCUCGGCUUAACCGGGGAACUGCGCCUGAUACUGGUUGGCUUGAGUUUGGGAGAGGGACGCGGAAUUCCAGGUGUAGCGGUGAAAUGCGCAGAUAUCAGGAGGAACACCGGUGGCGAAGGCGGUUCUCUGGGCAUUACCUGACGCUGAGGUGCGAAAGCGUGGGGAGCAAACAGG